GAAAUGCGAUAAGUAAUGUGAAUUGCAGAAUUCAGUGAAUCAUCGAAUCUUUGAACGCACCUUGCGCUCCUUGGUAUUCCUUGGAGCAUGCCUGUUUGAGUAUCAUGAAAUCUUCAAAGUAAAUCUUUUGUUAACUCAAUUGGUUUCUACUUUGGUAUUGGAGGUCUUUGCAGCUUCACACCUGCUCCUCUUUGUUCAUUAGCUGGAUCUCAGUGUUAUGCUUGGUUCCACUCGGCGUGAUAAGUUAUCUAUCGCUGAGGACACUGUAAAAGGUGGCCAAAGUAAAUGCAGAUGAACCGCUUCUAAUAGUCCAUUGACUUGGACAAUACUUUUAUGAUCUGAUCUCAAAUCAGGUAGGACUACCCGCUGAACUUAAGC
rnacentral:misc_RNA from 1 species